rnacentral:rRNA from 1 species
CCUACGGGAGGCAGCAGUAGGGAAUCUUCGGCAAUGGACGGAAGUCUGACCGAGCAACGCCGCGUGAGUGAAGAAGGUUUUCGGAUCGUAAAGCUCUGUUGUUAGGGAAGAACAAGUACCGUUCGAAUAGGGCGGUACCUUGACGGUACCUAACCAGAAAGCCACGGCUAACUACGUGCCAGCAGCCGCGGU